GGGUGGACUUCCUGGUCUCUGUUCCCACUUCCCCAGAGCUGAGGGAAGCUAGAAGCUGGGAUCAGCAGCCUGACUCCUCAGAAGCAGGACUAAGUCUUUGGACCUAGACCACCCACCCAGAGAUGGAACUGUCCACGGUGAGUUGGGCCUUCUUACGUCAACCAUCAAUCAAGAAAAGGCUAGCCUGAUUGGAGGCAGUUUCUCAACUGAGGUUCCCUCUUCCGGAGAUUCUCACUCUUGAAACUAGCCAACAAAUUAAUUAACUGUAGGAGGACGACACAUGCUCCAAGAACACAGCAACCAAGGCUGGCUGGAGCGUGACUACCUUCACAUCUAGAAUGGUGGCCAGCCACAGCAGAUCUCCGUCAAAUGAAUGAAAUGAGUGGUCCCGGACGACCUCUGUGAAAGGGUCGCGACCCUCAGGUUGAGAACUGCAGCUCUAGUCCAAUCCCUACUCUCCGCCUGGAAGAAGACUCAAGUGUUGCCUCUCCUCACUGGGCGCAUCAGCCAGUCUCCUGUGCUGACGUCAGAAAGCAUGCUUCAAAGCACUUUUUAGAACCCAGGCUCC